CAGACGAUGCGUCAUGCAUAUCAAUAAGCGGAGGAAAAGAAACUAACAAGGAUUCCCUUAGUAACGGCGAGUGAAGCGGGAAGAGCUCAAAUUUGAAAUCUUGAAAGGUCACCUUUCACGAAUUGUAGUUUAAAGAAGUGUUUUCUGUUACGAUCGUAAUAUAAGUUCUUUGGAAUAGGACAUCACAGAGGGUGAGAAUCCCGUCUAUGAUUGCGAUUUGUAGCUUUGUGAUACACUUUCAAAGAGUCGGGUUGUUUGGGAAUGCAGCCCAAAACGGGAGGUAAAUUUCUUCUAAGGCUAAAUAUUGGCGAGAGACCGAUAGCGAACAAGUACCGUGAGGGAAAGAUGAAAAGAACUUUGAAAAGAGAGUUAAACAGUACGUGAAAUUGUCAAAAGGGAAGCGUUUGACACCAGUGUUGUUUUUCUCGAAAAUCAAUUAAAAAGAGUUAGAUUUUGUUGUGUAUUGACCUUAACAGCUUGCAUUUCAAUUUUCUUGCUUUUUUUAAUGCACUUUUCGUUUAACAAGUCAACAUCAGUUUCUUUUGUUGUAAAAAGGUCAUUGGAAGGUGGCUUUCUUUUCGGAGAAAGUGUUUAUAGCCUUUGACUCCUGCAAUCGGAGAGACUGAGGUCUGCAGCGUAGAUCCUUCGGGGUUAGAUACAUUUGUGCUAAGUUAUAGCUUUUUAUAGACAACUUGUUGACUAUGAUUAGUCUUGUAGCUUACUCGCUUAUGCUAUUUUACCUACGCUUAGGAUGUUGAUCUGUAGUGCGUGCGC
rnacentral:rRNA from 1 species